CCUACGGGCGGCAGCAGUGGGGAAUAUUGCGCAAUGGGGGGAAGCCUGACCCAGCAACGCCGCGUGAAGGAAGACGGUUUUCGGGUUGUAAACUUCUUUUGACAGGGACGAAAGAAGUGACGGUACCUGACGAAUAAGCCACGGCUAACUACGUGCCAGCAGCCGCGGUAAUACGUAGGGGGCAAGCGUUAUCCGGAUUUACUGGGUGUAAAGGGAGAGUAGGCGGGAAGGUAAGUGAUAUGUGAAAUUCCUAGGCUCAACCUUGGGAUUGCAUGUUGAACUGUAGUGCUAGAGUGAAGGAGAGGCAAGCGGAAGUCCUGGUGUAGCGGUGAAAUGCGUAGAUAUACGGAGGAACACCAGUGGCGAAGGCGGCCUGCUGGACAGUAACUGACGCUGAGGCUCGAAAGCGUGGGGAGCAAACAGGAUUAGAUACCCGAGUAGUC
rnacentral:rRNA from 1 species